UGGGGAAUAUUGGACAAUGGGCGCAAGCCUGAUCCAGCCAUGCCGCGUGAGUGAUGAAGGCCCUAGGGUUGUAAAGCUCUUUCACCGGUGAAGAUAAUGACGGUAACCGGAGAAGAAGCCCCGGCUAACUUCGUGCCAGCAGCCGCGGUAAUACGAAGGGGGCUAGCGUUGUUCGGAUUUACUGGGCGUAAAGCGCACGUAGGCGGACUAUUAAGUCAGGGGUGAAAUCCCGGGGCUCAACCCCGGAACUGCCUUUGAUACUGGUAGUCUUGAGUUCAAGAGAGGUGAGUGGAAUUCCGAGUGUAGAGGUGAAAUUCGUAGAUAUUCGGAGGAACACCAGUGGCGAAGGCGGCUCACUGGCUCGAUACUGACGCUGAGGUGCGAAAGCGUGGGGAGCAAACAGG
rnacentral:rRNA from 1 species